rnacentral:rRNA from 1 species
UUUUGCAUAUCAAUAAGCGGAGGAAAAGAAACUAACAAGGAUUCCCCUAGUAACGGCGAGUGACCGGGAAAAAGCUCAAAUUUGAAAUCUGGCUGUCUUCGAUAGUCCGAGUUGUAAUCUAUAGAAGCGUUUUCCGUGCUGAACUGUGUCUAAGUCCCUUGGAACAGGGUAUCAAAGAGGGUGAUAAUCCCGUACUUGACACAAUCAUCAGUGCUCUGUGAUACGUUCUCUACGAGUCGAGUUGUUUAAUAAAAA